UUGCUCUUCCAGCUCAGGUUGGCUUGAGGGCCAAGAUUAAAGUGAGUCGGCUGGCUUUGUGCGGCUCUAGUCACAGGUGAGCACUGCCUGUGCUCCUGCUUUGAAUCCUGUCCGCACUGCCUGGCCUGGUGCUGCGUCUUCCACAUGUCCAGGGUGGAGCUUCACAGGCCGGCCUUGUGGUCCACGGAGUCUCCUUGCCGGACCUGCUGGAGAAGAGACAGGAGCCUCGCCCUAGGUGAAACCGGUGGGAAUGUGUGUGUAUGCCUGCAGUGGACUUGUGCAUUCCAAGUGCUUGCUAGUGAUUAGGUGCCAAGAGGGAAAGGAAAACUGCCGGCCACACAGAUGAUGGGAUAAAAGAGGGAUCUGACAUCCUCAGCCUGAAGGACCAGAACUGUGGAAUGGCUGGUGUCCAGCAGGUGCAUGAGAAAUGUUGAGAAGGAAGCAACUGGAGGAUAAAUUAAAUAAAGGAAUGAAAGCAGAGGCCCUCUGAGAGCUGCUGAAACACAUUUGGAGAAACAAUAUUGGUACUGGUGGCCUUUGUCCAGGGAGACCCAGGGGUGAAAAUAUAGGAAAUGACGAUCCAUUCCUGGGUGGAAGGCCAGCGCUCCAUCUUCACCAACACGAUGUAGUUGAAGAGCAUCAGGGGGAUCAGUCGGUGCCUGCUCUGAACUUCCUCUUCGUCCUUCUUCCUCGAAGACUCCCCGCUGUUCCGUCCCAGCAUGGCCUACAGUGGGAGAGAAGUGAGAAGCGACACCAUCACAGCCUGCCCUGUGUAGUGCGCCCAUUUAUACGGAGGAGCAGAUGCUCACCAGAGCUGAGUUCCAGAACCUUCCAAGAACCCAAGACCCCCAGACAUUGAAAAGCUGUGCCUUCCCUUAGUGUGUGACUCAUCAGACACAUAAUCCACUCAUUCCCUUUGCCUGCAUGGAAGCCCUUGGGGAUAUUUCUCGAGCAUGUUCUUUUCUUCCACCCUGGACCCCCUGGAAGAAGUGGGUGAUAGCCUAUGCACAGAAUUCUGAGAGGAAGAACAGACCCUGGCAUGGUCACACUACAGGAAUCUGUCUACCUCCCUCCUGUAUACAUUCUGGGACAGGCUAGCUUACGGUUCAAAUUCUGUCUCUCAAGUCACAUCUGCUCUGGAGUCAUGAGUAUGUUGGGUCAGAGUCCCUCAUUUUUCAAAGGUCAUGAGUAGUUAAGAGGCAAGUUUUAGGCAGUAUCUAAAGCUUGGGUUCAGGACAUCUCAACACCUUGGCAUGUGUCUGACCUCCCUGGUUUCCAACCUUGUAAAACUGGAAUUACUGUUGGCACCAGCCAUAGGGCAGCUCCUAGGCGCACUGCCUUCCUGUGUAGCUGGUAGGCCUGACCAGGAGAGGCCCAUCUCCACGCUCCUGGAGAUGUCCUUAAGAAUGGAUUAGCCAAAAAAAAAAAAAAAAAAAAAAAAUGGAUUAGCCCCUCACCCACUUAACAGGAGUAGCGUUAGCAACAGAUUUAACAUCACAAGGAAGGCAGAACCUGAGAAAGGCACACAUGUGCUUGUCUGGGUAGCAAGCGUCAGGGAGCCCCCUCAAAUGGGUGAAGAGCCCAGUGAUGAAGUGUUUUAGGCUUUGGGCCACUCAGAUGGGAGACUGAGUCCUGGCAUGGCUGCCUAGAAUCUGGCACCUUGGGCAAGUUGUUUUAAUCACUCAGAGACUUAUUUUCUUUAACUGUAAAAUGAGGGUAGUAAGAGCCACUACUGUUGGGUUGGUUUACAAAUCAAUUAGUGUCUGACUUUAGUAAACACUCAGUAACCAUUAGCUCAUCUUUAAAGUACACUGGGACCUUCCUGGACAGUAGUACUGAGUGAAAUGAUCCAGUGGGGGAUCUCUCGGACGUACCUCAGUAUGAAGGCCCUGGGUUCAAUCUCAACUAGUACCCCCCAACCCCUAGUUGAUCUUGACUGUGCCCAAAGACAGAUCUGGCCUUUGCCCGCAGUUCCUUGAAGAUAAGGCAUGUCAUAGCCAAUAGUUCUUUGUUUAGAGAGAGAGCCCGCCCACCCCAGGAGGUCUGAGGCUGGGGCCGGCCCUGCCAUAAAAACCAAUUGCAUGAUUCAGAGAGGGCUUUAGGUCACCUGGCACCUGGGUUACAACCUAGGCAAUGAGUCAAUCAUACUGAUGCAGUGGAGCUCCCAAUAAAAACGUCAGACAUGAGACAGGCAUGCUUCUCUGGCUGGCAAUACUUUGUGCAAGUUUCACACACUGAAGAAUAAUGAGUGCUGGCUCCAGAGUGAGUAGACCACAGACGUGAUGCGUUUGGAACCGUUCUGGACUUAAACCUGUGGGCUUCUUCCCUUGGGUGAUUUUAAUCUGUAGGUUUUUCCUAUAAUAAACUGUAACUGGGCAAAAAAGAGAGUAUGACAGCGUAAAUUCUUGGCUUGCGUUCUUUAAUACUGUCCUAAGACAAAGUCAGUUCUACAAUGUCGGGAAACAAGAUUUUUAUUAAAUGUGGGACAGGCAAGACAUUAUCAGGACUGAAAUACACCUAGGCGAAGACACUGUCCUAUUGAACACAUGAGUUUAAAGUUGAGAGAUCUAAUUAUAGCAGUAAUUUAAGUUUGUCUUGAAAAUGAUAAUAGAGAGAACCUCUGAUUUCAAACCACCCUAUCUAAAAUAUACCAAUAUUAGUUUCAACUACUUUGAGCAUUGCUUUAAACAAUGAUUUCACUCAAAUAUGUGACAAUCACAAAUUAUUUAUCUCUAAUCAAUAGGCUUUCUGGAGAAGGUAACUUCUAUUUCUUUGUGUACUCUGGCUAGAAAAGUACCUUGAGUUAAUGAAUAGAUAUGAUUUAAUUCCAAGGUUUAUCUAAUUGUUUAUUUUCACCAGCAAGCUGAGCCAACCUUCGUGGUGGAUACAGCACGCUAGACCCCAGUAGAAUUUUAGACUACUGAUCAUGGAUCUCAAGAAACUCCAAAGUUUUUAAUCCAGGGAGACCGCAAACCAGGAAUGGCCAGCCAAGUGACAAGUGCUGCAGGAGGCAAACUAUGGGACAAACUACGAGAAUCUACGAGAUGUUUCUCACGAAGAGCCACAUUCAACAAGGUUUGGGGUUUUGCUUUGUCUUAUAUGUCCAGCCUAAAUUUUAGAACUAAAAAGAGGCAACUUUCUUUCAUUUAACACUAAAAAUUACUAGUCAAAUGUAAUCAUUAAGGCACAUAAAGAUGAGGUUUUAUCUGCAGAACCUGAAGGAAACCGCACUUCUCUUGGACAUGGCUCCAAAAAGGAGGACAGGAAGUGAGAUCUCUUUGUAAC